AUGGCUUUUUUUUUUUUUUUUCUUGCCUUCAAACUGUUUGAUAAAAUGUCUCUUAGGCUUUUCAAAAAUCUGAUCUACUUACCUGAGUAGUGCUUGUGUCCUUGCAUUGAAUUGUUAUGGUAAUGUGGCUCAAGUUGAGGGUUAGGAUUAAAUGUUUCACUAAAAUAGACUAUUUUUUGAAUGGUCAUUACUCUGGUAUGCCUUCUCAUUUCUGCUCUAUAUAAUUAUUUUGUACUUGGUUUGAGAAUAAAAUGAGAAAAGUUGAAUGAUGGCCUUUUGCCAAUUGUUGGAAGGUCAAGUUGAACUUGACAGCAUAGGUUAUGUGUUGGUGAAGAGGGUAGUGCAGAAAUUUCCGUUGAAGGUGUAUUUGCAGCUGGAGAUGUACAGUUUCUUGAUCUUUGUAUAAGACCAUGAAUUGAGGCAAGCCAUAACUGCAACGGGUUCAGGAUGCAUUGCUGCUUUAUCAAUUGAGAGAUAUCUUACCAGCAACAAUCUCCUUGUUGAAUUUCAUCAGGUAUUCUCAAUUCUGAUUGUGUUCUGUUUGAUAUGUUCUUCUCUCUUUGAUAUUACACCUAUUGUCUUCCGUCCUAGACAAGGUUUUAAAAAGCGGCCGCAACCGUUACGUAACGCCGUUACGUAACGGUUUUGGUGAUUACCGCUACCCGUUACGACCGCUUUUGCAGUGUGAUUGAGAUUUACAGGUGUGUCGGCUGUAGUGGCUGCCGUAGCGGUUGUAACGGUGCCGUAACAGUUGUAACGCGCUGUUACGCACCGUUACGUAACGGUUCCGAACUGUUUCUU